ACGGGAGGCAGCAGUGGGGAAUAUUGCACAAUGGGGGAAGCCCUGAUGCAGCAACGCCGCGUGAGUGAAGAAGUAUUUCGGUAUGUAAAGCUCUAUCAGCAGGGAAGAUAAUGACGGUACCUGACUAAGAAGCUCCGGCUAAAUACGUGCCAGCAGCCGCGGUAAUACGUAUGGUGCAAGCGUUAUCCGGAUUUACUGGGUGUAAAGGGUGCGUAGGUGGCAAGGCAAGUCUGAAGUGAAAGCCUGGGGCUCAACCCCGGAACUGCUUUGGAAACUGUUUAGCUAGAGUACAGGAGAGGAAAGCGGAAUUCCUAGUGUAGCGGUGAAAUGCGUAGAUAUUAGGAGGAACACCAGUGGCGAAGGCGGCUUUCUGGACUGUAACUGACACUGAGGCACGAAAGCGUGGGGAGCAAACAGGAUUAGAUACCCUGGUA
rnacentral:rRNA from 1 species